rnacentral:rRNA from 1 species
UACGUAGGGUGCGAGCGUUAAUCGGAAUUACUGGGCGUAAAGCGUGCGCAGGCGGUUCUCCAAGUCCGUUGUGAAAACUCGAGGCUCAACCUCGAGACGCCGGUGGAAACCGUAAAGCUAGAGUCCGGAAGAGGAGAGUGGAAUUCCUGGUGUAGCGGUGAAAUGCGCAGAUAUCAGGAGGAACACCCGUGGCGAAAGCGGCUCUCUGGGACGGUACUGACGCUGAGACGCGAAAGCGUGGGGAGCAAACAGG